rnacentral:tRNA from 1 species
AGGCCCCAAGGUGUUGUCACACAUAAGAUUGCAAAUCUUAAGAAGCAGGCUAAUUGCGUGCUGGGGCUU